rnacentral:rRNA from 1 species
ACGCUGGCGGCGUGCCUAAUACAUGCAAGUCGAACGAGAGCGACCGGUGCUUGCACUGGUCAAUCUAGUGGCGAACGGGUGAGUAACACGUGGGUAACCUGCCCAUCAGAGGGGGAUAACAUUCGGAAACGGAUGCUAAAACCGCAUAGGUCUUCGAACCGCAUGGUUUGAAGAGGAAAAGAGGCGCAAGCUUCUGCUGAUGGAUGGACCCGCGGUGCAUUAGCUAGUUGGUGAGGUAACGGCUCACCAAGGCCGUGAUGCAUAGCCGACCUGAGAGGGUGAUCGGCCACAUUGGGACUGAGACACGGCCCAAACUCCUACGGGAGGCAGCAGUAGGGAAUCUUCCGCAAUGGACGCAAGUCUGACGGAGCAACGCCGCGUGAGUGAAGAAGGUUUUCGGAUCGUAAAACUCUGUUGUUAGAGAAGAACAAGUGCUAGAGUAACUGUUAGCGCCUUGACGGUAUCUAACCAGAAAGCCACGGCUAACUACGUGCCAGCAGCCGCGGUAAUACGUAGGUGGCAAGCGUUGUCCGGAUUUAUUGGGCGUAAAGCGAGCGCAGGCGGUUCCUUAAGUCUGAUGUGAAAGCCCCCGGCUCAACCGGGGAGGGUCAUUGGAAACUGGGGAACUUGAGUGCAGAAGAGGAGAGUGGAAUUCCAUGUGUAGCGGUGAAAUGCGUAGAUAUAUGGAGGAACACCAGUGGCGAAGGCGACUCUCUGGUCUGUAACUGACGCUGAGGCUCGAAAGCGUGGGUAGCAAACAGGAUUAGAUACCCUGGUAGUCCACGCCGUAAACGAUGAGUGCUAAGUGUUGGAGGGUUUCCGCCCUUCAGUGCUGCAGUUAACGCAUUAAGCACUCCGCCUGGGGAGUACGACCGCAAGGUUGAAACUCAAAGGAAUUGACGGGGACCC